GAUGAAGAACGUAGCGAAAUGCGAUACGUAAUGUGAAUUGCAGAAUUCAGUGAAUCAUCGAAUCUUUGAACGCACAUUGCACUCUCUGGUAUUCCGGAGAGUAUGCUUGUUUGAGUAUCUGUAAACAUCUCAAAUCUCUCUUCAAUUGCUUCAAUUGGGUCGAGAGAAUUGGAUUUGAGCGAUCCCGACUCCUUCGUCAGAAAGAGGAGGGUCGCUUGAAAUGCAGGUGCAGCUGGACAUUCUUCUGAGCAAAAAGCAUAUCUAUUUAGUCCCGUCAAACGGAUUAUUACUUUUGCUUCAGCUAAUAUAAAGGUUGAAUGAACUACCAACGCUGAUUGCAGGAAAACAUGUUCGUUUAUUCGGACUUGUAAACUCGAUCUCAAAUCAAGUAAGACUACCCGCUGAACUUAAGCAUAUCAACAAGCGGAGGA
rnacentral:misc_RNA from 1 species